CAUUAUUUUGACUCGAAUAGUAUUUCACCUUCCACAUAGAGGCGAUAUUCCGCGUUUGAGGAUGUUGGACGAGACGCACAGAAGAAGAACCUACGGUGGCGGCGCCCGCAAUGUUGACUUUACAGUCAUUAAUUCAUUUAAAAAAUGACUUGUGUUUAGAAGCGACCAUAUCGUUAAUACUAAGACCGAAUUUCAAUAACCUGCAUGGGUCUGUGCAAAACUACUUCAAUAAGUGUAUAAUGUUAUUUGAAGGAUUCUUUCUCGCUGACGAAAGAUAAGGUCCAUAAGGUUUCGAAAGCCGCGUCGCAAGCGAUGGUUAUUGACGUUGCUAAACGUUAAAAUACAACGUCGGGCUCGUAGUUCACAUUAGCCAGUUGUGGGCGAAGGUAAUGGCUGGGACUCUAGGGAGAAGGCAGAAUGCCGCCCAGGGUUUUCGAGAGCUAGCUAUUAUCAUAUGUCAAACAUUGACGUCAAGCUGGGUUUUGGCUAACUGUUUUUUGGGCAUGGAAUAAGACCUACAUUUGAGUGCGAAUAGUUUCCAAAUUAAAGUUUACCCCAGACCUGCUUCCCAUAUUCAGGAGACAGUAUGAGAACAACAUCUUAACAGGAGCCAAGUUUCCUGACCCAGGCUGUUAUGGCCACACCCAGUUCCACCUGGUGCCUGAUAGGUAUCGCAGGGACAAAAUGGCUUAUCUGAAUCUGACUGACCAGAUUGAGGUCUACCUGAGAGCUCAUGGCAUUGCCAGUCUAUUCACAUGGACAGGAGCACAAGCCAUGUAUCAUGGUGUGUAGUCAUUACUUGAAUAUCAGGUGUUAUUCUCCUUACCACCCUAAGCAUCAGUAACUUUUAAUUCAUUUUACCAUUCAGCUGUUUUCUGCCUGCUCUUGAAUACAUUUAUUCUUGAUACAUUUUAGUUGUGAAUACCAUCAAUUGUUGUUAAAGGACAUUUUGUAAACUUGAACAAAACAUCAUCAGGUUUCUGGAGCCAUGAGGAUGUGGCCAGGUCCUUUGUGUCCUAGGCUGUGAUCACUAUUGGCCAGUACUUCUCUGUCUUCUGUUACCAGCUCAACUCCCUGGCCCUGUCCAUGAGACGGAUGCUGUGAACCCCAGGAAGAACUUGUGCUGGGGGACAGACAGUAUUCAUCUGUAUGAAAUGAAGCAUGGUGUUGUGGUUGGGCUGGAUGACAGGGUCCUCAAGCUCCUGGUCUGGUUCCUACUGGGCAGGUCAGGUGGACAUGGAGAGAUGGUGUAUGCAGGGUGAAAUAAGUGUUUUUGUUGAAUUGUUUCCAUCUGGAUUCAACAGUGGCAAAUGUCAAUUCAUGUACACUGAACAUGUGCAGUGUAUAUGUAUGUACGGUGUGUGUAUCUCUGGUAUGAUCUGGCAGAAUGUAUUCAUGUGGAAAGUAAAAACAGUUGCAUACAGGGUUGAUUGGUGUCCACAUCACUAAGGACCUAUCAUGGUUCAAACACACCAACAUAGUUGUGAAGUGGCCACAAUGCCUCUUCCCCCUCAGGAGGCUGAAAACAUUUGGCAUGGGCCCCUCAGUUAUUCAAACAGUUAUACAGCGGCACCAUUGUGAGCAUCUUGACUGGCUGCAUCACCUCUUGGUUUGGCAACUGCUCUGCAUCUGACCGCAAGGUGCUGUGGAGGGUAGUGCGUGCCUACGGCCCAGUACAUCACGGGUUGAGCUCCCUGCCAUCCAGGACCUCUAUACCAGGCUGUUUCAAUGGGGAAAGAUUGGCUCGUACCCCGCUACAGUGAUUAUUGUUGAAAACCCUGCUUCUGGUGUUCUGCUGUUUGCCACUAGGUGUCGCUUAGUCAAUGUGGACAAACAGCACAACCACAGAUGGAACAAGGAGACUGAUGUUUUACCGGAUGUAUAAAUCUGAAGCAUCUGGUUGGAAUUUCCACCCCUCACCAAAUAUGGUGAGGAGAGGAAGCCCAGUGGGAGAGUAUGGAGCGAGAUGGAACUGGGCUGGCGUUCUGCUGAUUUUUCUCAUAGAAGAAGAAAAGCCCGAUCUCAAUUAGUUAUCUUUUCCCAAAACUAGAAUCUGUUACAGAGUGCAAUACGUUUUGUAGAUGUGACCCUUUGCCAAAGUUCCCUAACGGAAAUAUGCAAAUAAAUGCUAUAACGCGCAAAUAGGAUCUCGGUAGCUUGUCCUUGGCUCUGCCCACCUCCUUGCUGGUUUUGCCCACUCUGCUUAAUUUUCUCCUAUGAAAAACUGCACAGAUGAAUGAUCUU